CCAUUGUAUGCCAUACUAUACCAAGCUUUGUUGCACCAUUUCUGCACAUGUUUCAGAGCUAUGAAGCGUAAAAGGUGUUUUUUUACGCGCCCGCGAAAGCGGAUCGCCAGACACCAGACGUUCCAGGAGUUUUAUAUCGUUGAAAAUAUCCUAGCAUAUGACAGGGGACGAAGACAGUACCUCAUCAAA